rnacentral:rRNA from 1 species
UACGGGGGAGCAAGCGUUGUUCGGAUUUACUGGGCGUAAAGGGCGCGUAGGCGGUCAGCACAAGUCAGUUGUGAAAUCUCCGGGCUUAACUCGGAAAGGUCAACUGAUACUGUGCGACUAGAGUGCGGAAGGGGCAACUGGAAUUCUUGGUGUAGCGGUGAAAUGCGUAGAUAUCGGAAGGAACGCCGGUGGCGAAGGCGGCACGCUGGACCCGCCCUGACGCUGAGGCGCGAAAGCCAGGGGAGCGAACGGGG